UGAAGAUGGGUGUGCGGCUGAUUAGGUAGUUGGCGGGGUAACGGCCCACCAAGCCUUCGAUCAGUAACUGGUGUGAGAGCACGACCAGUCACACGGGCACUGAGACACGGGCCCGACUCCUACGGGAGGCAGCAGUAAGGAAUAUUGGGCAAUGGACGCAAGUCUGACCCAGCCAUGCCGCGUGGAGGAUGAAGGUCCUCUGGAUUGUAAACUUCUUUUCUCUGGGGCGAAUAAAGGAUAUUCUUAUCCUCCUGACAGUACCAGAGGAAUAAGCACCGGCUAACUCCGUGCCAGCAGCCGCGGUAAUACGGAGGGUGCAAGCGUUAUCCGGAUUCACUGGGUUUAAAGGGUGCGUAGGUGGGCAGGUAAGUCAGCGGUGAAAUCCCCGAGCUUAACUUGGGAACUGCCAUUGAUACUAUCUGUCUUGAAUACCUUGGAGGUAAGCGGAAUAUGUCCUGUAGCGGUGAAAUGCUUAGAUAUGACAUAGAACACCAAUUGCGAAGGCAGCUUACUACACGGUCAUUGACACUGAGGCACGAAAGCGUGGGGAUCAAACAGGAUUAGAUACCCUGGUAGUCCACGCCCUAAACGAUGGAUACUCGACAUCAGCGAUACACUGUUGGUGUCUGAGCGAAAGCAUUAAGUAUCCCACCUGGGAAGUACGACCGCAGGGUUGAAACUUAAAGGAAUUGACGG
rnacentral:rRNA from 1 species